GGGACACGUGGUAUCCUGUCUGAAUAUGGGGGGACCAUCCUCCAAGGCUAAAUACUCCUGACUGACCGAUAGUGAACCAGUACCGUGAGGGAAAGGCGAAAAGAACCCCGGCGAGGGGAGUGAAAAAGAACCUGAAACCGUGUACGUACAAGCAGUGGGAGCCUCUUAAUGGGGUGACUGCGUACCUUUUGUAUAAUGGGUCAGCGACUUAUAUUCUGUAGCAAGGUUAACCGAAUAGGGGAGCCGAAGGGAAACCGAGUCUUAACUGGGCGUUAAGUUGCAGGGUAUAGACCCGAAACCCGGUGAUCUAGCCAUGGGCAGGUUGAAGGUUGGGUAACACUAACUGGAGGACCGAACCGACUAAUGUUGAAAAAUUAGCGGAUGACUUGUGGCUGGGGGUGAAAGGCCAAUCAAACCGGGAGAUAGCUGGUUCUCCCCGAAAGCUAUUUAGGUAGCGCCUCGUGAAUUCAUCUCCGGGGGUAGAGCACUGUUUCGGCAAGGGGGUCAUCCCGACUUACCAACCCGAUGCAAACUGCGAAUACCGGAGAAUGUUAUCACGGGAGACACACGGCGGGUGCUAACGUCCGUCGUGAAGAGGGAAACAACCCAGACCGCCAGCUAAGGUCCCAAAGUCAUGGUUAAGUGGGAAACGAUGUGGGAAGGCCCAGACAGCCAGGAUGUUGGCUUAGAAGCAGCCAUCAUUUAAAGAAAGCGUAAUAGCUCACUGGUCGAGUCGGCCUGCGCGGAAGAUGUAACGGGGCUAAACCAUGCACCGAAGCUGCGGCAGCGACACUGUGUGUUGUUGGGUAGGGGAGCGUUCUGUAAGCCUGCGAAGGUGUGCUGUGAG
rnacentral:rRNA from 1 species